CCGUCUAAUACCGCAUAAUACAAUUUGGAGACAUCUCCGGGUUGUCAAAGGAGUGAUCCGGCAGAGGAUGGACAUGCGGCGCAUUAGCUAGUCGGCGGGGUAACGGCCCACCGAGGCUACGAUGCGUAGGGGUUCUGAGAGGAAGGUCCCCCACACUGGUACUGAGACACGGACCAGACUCCUACGGGAGGCAGCAGUGAGGAAUAUUGGUCAAUGGGCGGAAGCCUGAACCAGCCAAGUCGCGUGAGGGAAGACGGUCCUAUGGAUUGUAAACCUCUUUUGCAGGGGAGCAAGGCGCGGUACGUGUACCGCGAAGGAGAGUACCCUGAGAAAAAGCAUCGGCUAACUCCGUGCCAGCAGCCGCGGUAAUACGGAGGAUGCGAGCGUUAUCCGGAUUUAUUGGGUUUAAAGGGUGCGCAGGCGGACUGUUAAGUCAGCGGUAAAAUGUCGGUGCUCAACACCGGCCGGCCGUUGAAACUGGCAGCCUUGAGUGAGCGAGAAGUAUGCGGAAUGCGUGGUGUAGCGGUGAAAUGCAUAGAUAUC
rnacentral:rRNA from 1 species